rnacentral:rRNA from 1 species
AACGUAGGAGGCAAGCGUUAUCCGGAAUUACUGGGCGUAAAGGGCGUCUAGGCGGUAAGGCAAGCGCGAUGUGAAAGCUCCUGGCUCAACUGGGAGAGUGCGUAGCGAACUGCUUAACUAGAGGCCAGGCGAUGGGGGUGGAAUUCCCGGUGGAGUGGUGAAAUGCGUAGAGAUCGGCAGGAACACCAAGGCCGAAGGGAGCCAUCUGGGCGUGUACUGACACUCAUGUGCGACCGCGUGGGGAGCCAACCGG